rnacentral:rRNA from 1 species
UACGUAGGGGGCAAGCGUUGUCCGGAUUAUUGGGCGUAAAGAGCGUGUAGGCGGCCAGGUAGGUCCGUUGUGAAAACUGGAGGCUUAACCUCCAGCUGUCGAUGGAAACCAUCUGGCUAGAGUCCGGAAGAGGAGAGUGGAAUUCCUGGUGUAGCGGUGAAAUGCGCAGAUAUCAGGAAGAACACCGGUGGCGAAGGCGGCUCGCUGGGCCAGAUCCGACACUCAUCCGCGAAAGCGUGGGGAGCAAACAGG